UACGUAGGCAGCGAGCGUUGUUCGGAGUUACUGGGCGUAAAGCGUGCGCAGGCGGUGAUGUAAGACAGUUGUGAAAUCCCCGGGCUCAACCUGGGAACUGCAUCUGUGACUGCAUCGCUGGAGUGCGGCAGAGGGGGAUGGAAUUCCGCGUGUAGCAGUGAAAUGCGUAGAUAUGCGGAGGAACACCGAUGGCGAAGGCAAUCCCCUGGGCCUGCACUGACGCUCAUGCACGAAAGCGUGGGGAGCAAACAGG
rnacentral:rRNA from 1 species